rnacentral:antisense_RNA from 1 species
CUUGAUCGAGCCCAGCAGCAGCGGCUCGUCCGCCGCGCGCUCCCGGCCGUAGGUGGCCAGCAGGGCCUGCGCCUC